rnacentral:rRNA from 1 species
GUCGAACGAACCUUCGGGUUAGUGGCGGACGGGUGAGUAACGCGUGGGAAUCUGCCCUCAGGAGGGGGAUAACGGUUGGAAACGACCGCUAAUACCCCAUAUGCCGAGAGGUGAAAUGAAUUUCGCCUGAGGAUGAGCCCGCGUCUGAUUAGCUUGUUGGUGAGGUAAUGGCUCACCAAGGCAUCGAUCAGUAGCUGGUCUGAGAGGAUGAUCAGCCACACUGGGACUGAGACACGGCCCAGACUCCUACGGGAGGCAGCAGUGGGGAAUUUUCCGCAAUGGGCGAAAGCCUGACGGAGCAACGCCGCGUGAGGGACGAAGGCCUCUGGGCUGUAAACCUCUUUUCUCAAGGAAGAAGAUAUGACGGUACUUGAGGAAUAAGCCACGGCUAAUUCCGUGCCAGCAGCCGCGGUAAUACGGGAGUGGCAAGCGUUAUCCGGAAUUAUUGGGCGUAAAGCGUCCGCAGGCGGCCUUUCAAGUCUGCUGUUAAAGCGUGGAGCUUAACUCCAUCAUGGCAGUGGAAACUGAUUGGCUUGAGUAUGGUAGGGGCAGAGGGAAUUCCCGGUGUAGCGGUGAAAUGCGUAGAUAUCGGGAAGAACACCAGUGGCGAAGGCGCUCUGCUGGGCCAUUACUGACGCUCAUGGACGAAAGCCAGGGGAGCGAAAGGGAUUAGAUACCCCUGUAGUCCUGGCCGUAAACGAUGAACACUAGGUGUCGGGGGAAUCGACCCCUUCGGUGUCGUAGCUAACGCGUUAAGUGUUCCGCCUGGGGAGUACGCACGCAAGUGUGAA